AGUGAACGCUGGCGGUAGGCCUAACACAUGCAAGUCAAACGGCAGCACAGUAAGAGCUUGCUCUUACGGGUGGCGAGUGGCGGACGGGUGAGGAAUACAUCGGAAUCUACUUUUUCGUGGGGGAUAACGUAGGGAAACAUACGCUAAUACCGCAUACGACCUACGGGUGAAAGCAGGGGAUCUUCGGACCUUGCCCGACUGAAUGAGCCGAUGUCGGAUUAGCUAGUUGGCGGGGUAAAGGCCCACCAAGGCGACGAUCCGUAGCUGGUCUGAGAGGAUGAUCAGCCACACUGGAACUGAGACACGGUCCAGACUCCUACGGGAGGCAGCAGUGGGGAAUAUUGGACAAUGGGCGAAAGCCUGAUCCAGCCAUACCGCGUGAGUGAAGAAGGCCUUCGGGUUGUAAAGCCCUUUUGUUGGGAAAGAAAAGCAGCAGGUUAAUACCCCGCUGUUCUGACGGUACCCAAAGAAUAAGCACCGGCUAACUUCGUG
rnacentral:rRNA from 1 species